rnacentral:piRNA from 1 species
UAGUCCAAUAAACACAGGAUCCUUAUGGGAC